UUCUCAGAGAGCUGGUUUCAUAUGGCUGGAUUCUUUUGUCACAGUCUGCAUUUCAUCCUAGGAUUGUCCUGAUUCCCUAAAUGAAUUGUAUUUUUUUGAGACAGGGUCUGGCAGCCUCGAACCCCUGGAGGCUUAGGCUGGUCUCAAACUCCUGGACUCAAGCAAUCCUCCUGCCUUAGCCUCCACAAGUGCUGGGAUUACAGGCAUGAGCAACUGCAUCCAGCUAAACAACCUCUCUUCUUGCAACACUGUUUCCUUGUGAGCUCAUUAACAUGCUAAUUACCAGAUUCCACAGGAAGAUGGAUUACAGAGCAAUAAGACAGGCUGGGUUCACCCUGGAAUGUGACCAGUAGUGACAGCCUCUAUAACAAUGACACAGGUACCGUUAUCGAUGCUGGGAAAAGAGAAAAGGACAUCAUUUUGCCCUCAGGGAGCUCAUAGUCUAACGGAGAGAGAGACAUGUGAACAACUACAACGUCUAUGGUAUAAGAAAACACUAAAUUGGAGACAUGUUCAAAGUAGUGCAGGGGAGGGAGCGGAGUGAGACUUCCUGGGGUCAUCCAGAAGGGCUUCCCGGCAGGGAACGCUACACUUCCUUAGAAAUUAAGAGUGUGUGCUACACUGCUUUACCAGAGCAAGACCAAAAGCAGCUUCAAUUAUGGUACAACUGUGUGAAGACACAAUGCGAAACCACUCAAGAAUGCUCACUCAAAUGGAUUUUUACCAUGGAACUCGGAAACGGGACCCAGAAAGUUGUUUUCUGCAAGUGGAUGGAACAACACAAGCAAUCAGUAUCCUGAAACAGGCCCUG
rnacentral:antisense_RNA from 1 species